rnacentral:lncRNA from 1 species
CCCAUUUAGGUUCAGUCCCACUGCUCCUGUUUGGUCAGCAGGCACCUUUUACCAUCUGCUUCAUUUGCAUUUGCUCUAUCUUUUCUGUUAUUAUAUAAUAGAGACAUAGCUACAUGGCAAGUUAGAUCAGAAGCACAGUCUGAGAACUACAGAAUUUUCAAUUUGCUGGUUUUUUUUUUUUCAGCUUUUGAAAAAAGCUUCAUUCGUAAAAACAAAAGUCAAAAGACAACAGUGAAGCCAAGAAGACAGCAAAUAGACACUGCCAAUGACCCAAAUGCUACAGUCAGAAAAUAAAUUUCUAUGGCUUAACGUCUGGGCACCGAGAAUAUUUUUCAGAAAUGAAGGGUACCUGAUAAGCCUAAAAAGAAGUAGAAGAAUAAGAAAGUGGUUUCUAAAAGCUGAAAGCUGGAUAAGUUUUAAAGCCUGAAACCUUACAUUGGAUGCAGCAGCUGAUGUUCUCAGGAAUUUAUCUUUUAGGUCACAGAGUCAAGUAAAACUCUUGUAAGACUAUCACUAGAUACUCAAUAAUGGAGAAAAAAUGUUGAAUAGAUUGCAAUGCAAUGCUACAAAAUGAUCUUUAUUAUAAAAAUACUUUAGGUCAUAUGGCCCUGUGAGCUCAUUGAAUUGUGCUUGGCUGUUGAGAUGACAGAAUUCAGUCCCAUAUUUUCUGGUCAUGUGAAUUUCACUAGGUGAGGAAUAUAACCCUCUGAUAUGAGGCAAUUGUCUACC